rnacentral:misc_RNA from 1 species
GAAAUGCGAUAAUUAAUGUGAAUUGCAGAAUGCAGUGAAUCAGCGAGUCUUUGAACGCACAUUGCGCCCCCUGGUAUUCCGGGGGGCAUGCCUGUCCGAGCGUCAUUGCUGCCCUCAAGCACGGCUUGUGUGUUGGGCUUCCGUCCCUGGCAACGGGGACGGGCCCAAAAGGCAGUGGCGGCACCAUGUCUGGUCCUCGAGCGUAUGGGGCUUUGUCACCCGCUCCCGUAGGUCCAGCUGGCAGCUAGCCUCGCAACCAAUCUUUUUAACCAGGUUGACCUCGGAUCAGGUAGGGAUACCCGCUGAACUUAAGC